rnacentral:rRNA from 1 species
CAGUAGCCACGGUAAUACGAAGGGUGCAAGCGUUACUCGGAAUUACUGGGCGUAAAGCGUGCGUAGGUGGUGGUUUAAGUCCGUUGUGAAAGCCCUGGGCUCAACCUGGGAAUUGCAGUGGAUACUGGGUCACUAGAGUGUGGUAGAGGAUAGUGGAAUUUCCGGUGUAGCAGUGAAAUGCGUAGAGAUCGGAAGGAACAUCUGUGGCGAAGGCGACUAUCUGGGCCAACACUGACACUGAGGCACGAAAGCGUGGGGAGCAAACAGGAUUAGAUACCCGGGUAGUCCCUGUCUCUUAUAC